rnacentral:rRNA from 1 species
AGAGUUUGAUCCUGGCUCAGAUUGAACGCUGGCGGCAUGCCUUACACAUGCAAGUCGAACGGCAGCACGGGAGCAAUCCUGGUGGCGAGUGGCGAACGGGUGAGUAAUGUAUCGGAACGUACCUUUCAGUGGGGGAUAACGUAGCGAAAGUUACGCUAAUACCGCAUAUUCUGUGAGCAGGAAAGCAGGGGAUCGCAAGACCUUGCGCUGAUUGAGCGGCCGAUAUCAGAUUAGCUAGUUGGUGAGGUAAAGGCUCACCAAGGCGACGAUCUGUAGCGGGUCUGAGAGGAUGAUCCGCCACACUGGAACUGAGACACGGUCCAGACUCCUACGGGAGGCAGCAGUGGGGAAUUUUGGACAAUGGGGGCAACCCUGAUCCAGCCAUGCCGCGUGAGUGAAGAAGGCCUUCGGGUUGUAAAGCUCUUUCAGCCGGGAAGAAAACGCAUGGGUUAAUACCCUGUGUGGAUGACGGUACCGGAAUAAGAAGCACCGGCUAACUACGUGCCAGCAGCCGCGGUAA